GAUGAACGCUGGCGGCGUGCCUAAUACAUGCAAGUCGAGCGAACAGACGAGGAGCUUGCUCCUCUGACGUUAGCGGCGGACGGGUGAGUAACACGUGGAUAACCCACCUAUAAGACUGGGAUAACUUCGGGAAACCGGAGCUAAUACCGGAUAAUAUAUUGAACCGCAUGGUUCAAUAGUGAAAGACGGUUUUGCUGUCACUUAUAGAUGGAUCCGCGCCGCAUUAGCUAGUUGGUAAGGUAACGGCUUACCAAGGCAACGAUGCGUAGCCGACCUGAGAGGGUGAUCGGCCACACUGGAACUGAGACACGGUCCAGACUCCUACGGGAGGCAGCAGUAGGGAAUCUUCCGCAAUGGGCGAAAGCUUGACGGAGCAACGCCGCGUGAGAGAUGAAGGUCUUCGGAUCGUAAAACUCUGUUAUUAGGGAAGAACAAAUGUGUAAGUAACUAUGCACGUCUUGACGGUACCUAAUCAGAAAGCCACGGCUAACUACGUG
rnacentral:rRNA from 1 species